AUAAUUGGUAAUCUUUCUGUGAGGUAAUUAUUGUUAAGGGUUAAAAAUUGGGGUUUUGGUAAGCCUCUUUAGUGGUUUUCGUUAAUUUCUACUCUUUUGUCAUAUAUUUUGCAUCUUAAUUUGUUUUGGGUUUUUACCUUCUUAAGAGUAAAUAAUGUAUUCAUAUUUUUUUGUUAAUUUUAGCAUUCUUUUGUAUUACAUUUUUAGAGAGUUUUUUUUUUUAAUGUAGUUUUCAGGUUUUUCUUUGUCCCAUUGACUGGUGCUAUGUGUUUCUUUUUUCUUUUCUUUUCUUUUCUUUUCUUUUCGUUUCUUUGUUUUUGUUUUUGUUUUUGUUUUUUUUUUCAAGACACGGUUUCUCUGACUAGCCCUGGAACUCACUCUGUAGACCAAGUUGGCCUCAAACUCAGGCCACCUGCCUCUGCCUUCCAAGUGCUAGGAUUAAAAGUGUGCACCGCCCCUGCCCUGCUGGCUUUGUGUUUUUUAAUUACAUUGUAAUCACGGCAGUUACUCGGAAGAAUGACCUCAGUUACUCGGAAGAAUGACCUCAUUCACUCUAUGUAAACAUGUUCAGAAUUGCUUUGUGAUGUUUUUAUUUUGACCAACUUAUGGUUGUCAAGAUUGUGUGUUCUGAUGCUGCUGUGUUGAGCAGAGAACAAUCCAGUUCGGCUGUCCCAUGACUUGUUGCUGUAUUUCCGUUUGCUAUAUUUGUCUGCUUUUUAGCCAAGACAUGGUAGGCACAUAUUGCAUGGUAACAUAUAAUCACACUUCCAAGCAUGAUUUUCUCAUUUCUGUCCUUCCCUUAAGAGAGAGAGAGAGAGAGAGAGAGAGAGAGAGAGAGAGAGAGAGAGAGAGAGAGAAGGAGAGUGCAUUUGAGUUAAAAGUUAUGGGGAAGUUGUAAGUUCUCCUUGUACUUAGUCUUUUGGGGAGUUAGUGACCUGCCCAAUCACUUAACAUGACACAUUUUCAUUUCCUAAAAGAUUUUCUACAUAGUGACAAUGAAAACAUCCAGGUCAGGAAAUUGAUACUGGAAUUAAUUACAAGUGUCAUUCUGACUUCUCUACUUCUCCUGCUGGUGUCUUUUACAGCAGAAGAAAUAAUUCAAAAUUACAUGUUAUAUUAGUUUAUGUGUGUUUAAAGUCCUUUCCUUUGAAACUGUUUCUUCAGUGGUUUCUUGUUUUUAUUUGUUUUUUUGUUUUUGAGACUGGGUCUCUCUAUAUAGUCUGGGUUAUCCUGAAACUCACUAUGUAGCCCAGGCUGGUCUGGAACACAAAGGUCUACCUUCUACUGCGUCCCAAAUUCUGUGACUUAAAGAUGGGCUCUACUACGUCCAGCUUUAGUACUUUCUUAAUAUUCAUAAGCUUGAAGUUUUUUAAGAUUUCAUAAAAUGAUUAUUUUGUGAAAUGUUCUUUGAGUUUUCUUAUAGUUGCAUUUCUGUUAGUUACUUUAUGUAGCACAAAUUAUAUUGACUUUCAUCAUUAUAUCAUAACAUGUUACAAAGUUUUAAUUUGUUACAUGAUUGAAAACCAUCACUUGAAUUACUUAGUAAGACUGUAGCGGCUACAUGUUACUAUUUUUAAGUUAUUCUUUUCUCUACGUAAUUAAAUAUGUUAUAAGAUUCUUUAAAGUUAUAUAAAUAUCUUAGUAUUUAGCAAAUUCAGCUUAUUAUUUAUAACUAUACAGAAUCAUGCUUUCUUAUCUGAGUGGCUUAUGACUGUUUUUAUUUUUAAUUCUCUCUCUCUCUCUCUCUCUCUCUCUCUCUCUCUUCUUACUCUAGGCCUUGAAGUCACAGAAAUCUGCCUGCUUCUCCCUUCUAAAUGCUGGAAUUAAAGGCGUGCACCACACCCAGCCUCUUUCUGUUCUCAUAGAAUCUUCUCUGUAGUUCAGGCCUGCUUCAGCCUUGUCAUCAUCCUUCCUGCCUCACAUAUUGGGGUUAUUGUGUGUGUCAUGAGCCCUGGCUAUUGAUGCUGCUUUGCUUUUUCCUUUUUAUUUGAAAUAAACACAGAGUAACAGGAAAACACAAAAAUAGUUCUGAGAAGCUGAAUGUGGUGGCUCAGGCAUCUAUGAAGCUGAGGCAAAAGAAGGGUUGUCAUAAAUUCCAAGCCAGCUUGGCCUAUAUAUUAAGUUAUAGAGUAAAACUUUCAAGGGCUGGAGAGAUGGCUCAGGGGUUAAGAGAGCUGACUGCUCUUCCAGAGGACCUGGGUUUUAAUUCUCAGCACCCACAUGGCAGCUCAUACCGGUCGGUAACUCCAUAUCUGGCAUUCUCACUCAGACAUACAUUCAGGCAAGACACCAAUGCAC
rnacentral:lncRNA from 1 species